GACGAACGCUGGCGGCGUGCUUAACACAUGCAAGUCGAACGGAAAGGCCCUGCUUUUGUGGGGUGCUCGAGUGGCGAACGGGUGAGUAACACGUGAGUAACCUGCCCUUGACUUUGGGAUAACUUCAGGAAACUGGGGCUAAUACCGGAUAGGAGCUCCUGCUGCAUGGUGGGGGUUGGAAAGUUUCGGCGGUUGGGGAUGGACUCGCGGCUUAUCAGCUUGUUGGUGGGGUAGUGGCUUACCAAGGCUUUGACGGGUAGCCGGCCUGAGAGGGUGACCGGCCACAUUGGGACUGAGAUACGGCCCAGGCUCCUACGGGAGGCAGCAGUGGGGAAUAUUGCACAAUGGGCGGAAGCCUGAUGCAGCAACGCCGCGUGCGGGAUGACGGCCCUCGGGUUGUAAACCGCUUUCGCCUGUGACGAAGCGUGAGUGACGGUAAUGGGUAAAGAAGCACCGGCUAACUACGUG
rnacentral:rRNA from 1 species